rnacentral:lncRNA from 1 species
CCCUUUAACAGGUAGUGAUGAAUGCUGUACAUGAAGAAACCCAAGCAGAAGAGGAUGAUCAUGAAGGACAAGGUGGUGAGGGUGUAGAGGGCCAUUCGUUUCUCCAUGCUGCCCUGAUGAGGCAGAUAAAGGGUGCAGGGCAGGCCUCGGGGCUGCAGUGAAUGACGGUGUGGCUCACCAUUGGCAGUGGUUGGUACAUGAGAAGGAAUAAAAGCACACCCUGGGCGCCGACCUGCAGCAGGAAGUAAAGGAGGUACAAAAGGGAAAGCAUCUUCUCCUGGGGGAGGUUCAGAUGGACUUUGGAGAGCGGUCUUGCUCCUGGAUUCCCACCAUGGAGCCCUCCUCCGCCUCACCUGCUACCGACUCCUCUGACUUGAGCUUGAUCUGCUUAUGCCGAAUCUGAGCCAUGAAGAAUUCCAUGAGGAAGAAGAGGGAUAGGAAGACAAAGAAAAAGAAGUACCAAAUUCCCACUACAGGACUGCUAAACCUUCUUUCAAAACACUCAGUCAAACAAGCAUAGGUGAUGUUGCCAUGGCACUGGAAAUGUUCAUGGAUGGAGGACCAGGGCAUGCGGACCAUGUACAACACCAUUCCAUACAUGGCGAUGAAGCCAAACCACAGAUGUCACCCGACGUAGCAGCCAGACUUGUCACCGGCCACAGAGUGCAACACAGGGAUCAGUCCAGCCACCGCUGCUGCAGCCAUCUCCUCAGACUCUCAGGGGACAACGGAAUCCGAGACUAAGAGAAUGCUCACUGAUGGCACCUCGGGAAGGAAAGGAAAGGAAAGAGAAGGACGCAGGGUCAGAACGGGAGAGCGGGUGCCAAGAACGCUAAGCACAUCCGAGAAGACUGCUCGAGUGUGGAUCCGCACCAGCAGUCAGUAUCCUAUCUUUACACACAAGCAGUAUCUGCACUCCCAUGACGCGGUUAUUCCUCUCUCCAGGUUUCAGCCAUGAUAAAGGCCGUCCACCUCUGGACACGCUCAGCCACAUUAUAAUUACACAUGUCCGUGUCAUCUCUCCUGCUGCAUUAUAAGCUUCUGGAGAUCAGGAAUGAGACUUUAUUCACCUUUACAAUGCCCUCAUCAUCCAGCAUAGACCAUUACAUAUAAUAAGGACCUAUUCAGACUAGACAAACGAAUGAGGGAAGGAACAAAUACGUAAAUUGAACAAUUCUGGUUGUGUCUGGCUGUUCUAGAAGCCCUACGGCAAUCUCUAUACUUUGUAUCUUUGCCAGGAAAUUCCCUAAGACCAUAGAGAAAAGGAGUGGAACAUCCCCUUUUCUUUCUUACACAUGACUUUAUUUCAUCCAUAACUCUUCAGAUGGUACCUAUCACCACACUUUAUUUAUAAUAAUAAUGAAAAUAUUGACCACUUAUGACUGGCUAAAUACGGCAAGCCCUGUGCUAGUAGUUUAGAUACAUUACCUUUACAGAAGGAUAAAACAUUUUAAAUAUUUGUAUUUGCUUAAUUUGGGUAAUUGUCAGUGUUUGUCCUCUCUUACAUAGUUCUUAUAAAUGACAGGGACCAAUCACUUAACUUGAGGUUUAUAAUAUUUAAUAAAAUGCUUUGGGUUGUUUUAUUACAGUAAAAUAUACAUAACACAAAAUUUACCAUUUUGACCAUUUUAACUGUCCAGUUCUGUGGCAUUAAGUACAUUCACAUUGCUGUGCAACCAUCACCACCAUCCAGCUCCAAAACUAUUUCAUCUUCCCAAACUGAAAUUCUGUACCCAUUAAACAAACAAUAACUGCCCAUCUUCCCCCCUCUUUCCAGCCCCUGGAAACUACCAUUCUACUUUCUGUCUCUACAAAUUUGACUACUCUGGGAACCUCCUCCAAGAGGAAUCAUGCCAUGUUUGUUCUUUCGUGUCUGGCUUAUUUCACUUAGCAUAAUGUCUUUAAGUUUCAUCUACGUUGUAGCACGUGCCAAAAUUUCCUUCUUUUCUGGCUGAAUAAUACUCCACUGUGUGUACGUGCCGUCCCACACUGUGUUUCUCCAUUCAUUUAUCAAUGGACAUUCGCGUUGUUUCCACCUUUCAGCUACCGUGAAUAAAGCUGCUAUGAGCAUGAGUGUACAAAUACGUUUGAGUCCCUGUGAUCACUUCUUGCGAGUAGAUGACCAGAAGUAGGACUGCUGGAUCAUGUGGUAAUUCUGCGUUUGAUUUUUUUGAGGAAUCUCCACACUGUUUUCCACAGUGCCUUUGCCAUUUUAUAUUCCCACCAGCAAUGCACAAGCGUUCCCAUUUCUCCAUAUCCUUGCCAGCACUUGUUAUUUCUUGGGUUUAAAAAAAAAAAAACGCUUUGGAUUUUAUUGAAAAAUAGUCACAGCUAGCACUUGAAAGUCUCUUUAAAAGAUCAGCAAUAUUUCUAAAUUACCCCCAAGUAUCAGGUCACAUUUGAACAGUCCAAACACAGCAAUCACGAGAGGCAGCCUCCAGAGUGAACUGGUGGAUGCAGGACUGCAUGCUCCGCCCGCGCGGAGGGUGGACCAGCAAAAUGCUGAAGGCAUAGAUGGGAACAUGAGGCAACAAUGCAGACAUCGAGUGCCCACUAUGCGCCAGGCACUCUGCUAUCAACCAACAGUUAUGCCUUCAUUGUCUCAUUUAUUCCUUAGAACAACUUUGAGAUGGGUAUAAAUAUUCCCAAUUUUCUAUUGAGAUAGGAACGAUAAGAGAACUGAGAACAGACAAGAAAACUGGGAUUUAGAAUGCUUAAGUGACUGCCCCACAAUCACGCAGCCGAGUAAACAGAGGCACCAGGAUGAGAACCAGAACUGUCUUUAACUUGGCAGCCUGAAUUUUGGACUUUGCCUGCUUCACAAGUUCGUGGCCCGAGUUGACAGGGAAGAAAGGGGAGAGCCACGCCAAGCUCCUUGAAAGAGAUGACCGUCUACCCACACUGUCUACCCCUCCUCACUGCUGCUGCGUCACCCCCUCCUAUGUGGGCAUCUCCAUCUCCACCAGAAGAAUGAUGUGCUUGCUUUAAAUCAAGCAACAGGAACUCACUGUUUUCCUUUUGGCUUGCCUGAAAUCUCAGAGCUACAUGUCCAAUUAUAGCAAUUUUAUUAGACCAGGUUCAUGGUAUAUUUAUUUUCCUUUCCUGAUAUUUUUUGUUUUAAUUUUAUGGUUUGAUACCAUAGGUCAUAUUGUAAGCUACUGGAGCUAAAAUUUCUAAAUAGAC